GUAGGGAAUCUUCCACAAUGGACGAAAGUCUGAUGGAGCAACGCCGCGUGAGCGAAGAAGGUUUUCGGAUCGUAAAGCUCUGUUGCCGGAGAAGAACGGAUGCGGGAGGAAAUGUCCGCGUCGUGACGGUAUCCGGCCAGAAAGCCACGGCUAACUACGUGCCAGCAGCCGCGGUAAUACGUAGGUGGCAAGCGUUGUCCGGAAUUAUUGGGCGUAAAGCGCGCGCAGGCGGCUUCUUAAGUCUGAUGUGAAAUUCUGCAGCUCAACUGCAGGCGGGCAUUGGAAACUGGGGAGCUUGAGUACAGAAGAGGAGAGUAGAAUUCCACGUGUAGCGGUGAAAUGCGUAGAGAUGUGGAGGAAUACCAGUGGCGAAGGCGGCUCUCUGGUCUGUUACUGACGCUGAGGUGCGAAAGCGUGGGGAGCGAACAGGAUUAGAAACCCUAGUAGUCC
rnacentral:rRNA from 1 species